GCAAUGUAUUCCAAUCGUGCUAUCUUUCCCUCAUACUAUAGAGUACAGACCCUAUGAGUGAGUGACACUAGGUUGGAGAUAAGUGUACCUAGGAUGCUCUCCCCUGAUACCCCCACCACCCCUAGGCAUUGUGGGUGUUGUAGUAGCACAUAAAGCUUGUAGCCUGGGUCACUCUCCUCCAGAGCUGCUGACGUACUGUGUGCACCGGCUAUGUACUAAUGGACGGGCAGCUCUGCCAGGCACACACUGUGCCAGGGUGGCACUGAGAAUAAACCCCCCCACAGGAGGUGAGAAAAACAACACAGUCCCAGCCCACUAUUCACUCUACCUGUCCGCUGUCUCCGAGGACACCGACUGGAUUCCACCUGACUGGAUCCCCGGGAAGCGGAAGUGAUGAGCUGUAAAUAUGCCUCUGCUUGAAGAAAAGAUUGACAAAUUGAUGGCAAAUAGACGGCAAAGCAAUCAAGCAAAUAAAGAUCGAUCACUGAAAACCAUUCUAACAAGCAAGCUAAGUGUGAAUUGUCUGUCAUAUCAACCAAUUCAUCAAGUGACAGAGAAACUAGCUGAAGUCAUCCAAAUCUGUAUCAGCUGCCAUGACGUCAACUCUUCUAACGUAACUGAGCAGCUGAAGGAAAUCUAUUGCAAAUAUUAUUUCUGUUCUUUUUUCAAAGUUAUUAAAGAGUGAAUCAGCAGCUUCUAAAUAGGCUUCUUUAAUCAUCUCACCAUCCUCAGAUGUUUUUUUUCCCUCUUUGCUGUUAGCUGAGACACUCGAUAAGAAGACACAGAUGUGACUGUGAUUUUCUAUACACGUCUAUUAAACAAUCCUUUCAAUGUUUUAAAAUGUGCAUGGCCUCUUUUUUUUUUCUUGGCGAAAGCGAUGGAAGCUUUGCAGAACAAAUGCACGCGCUUCCCAAUUAUUUCAGUGUUAUGUUCCUCUUCACAAUUUUUUUUAUGUAUAUGUUUGCCAUUGACAUGAAGGCUGAACAACUGCCACUACAUGUUGAAUUGCUCUACUGGUUUUAGGCCUGGCUAUGCUUGCAUCUGGACUUGCAGGCUGGGCUGAAUUCUGACAUGGCCCAGCUGAGCCUGGCUAGUCUGAAUUCUGCCGUGGCCCAGCUGGCUGGCUGGUUUGAGUUCUGGCCUGGCUAAAUGGUUUGAGUUUUGGCAAUGCCAACUAAGUUUGGCCUGUCACAGCAUUAUACAUCUCGGCCAGGACAGUGCAGAGGUUGGGAGUAAGUAACAGAGUGCAGGAACAAGAAUAAGAACUGCAGAGUUCAGAGGUCAGUAGUAUGUAACAUAGCAUGCAGAUGUAAGUUUUCAG